rnacentral:ncRNA from 1 species
UCAAGAGCAAUGAUAAAGAGUAGUAACUUUGACGGAUUCUUAAGAGAGCUGAUGGUUGGUGCGAAUCAGUGUAGACGUUUAAGUGAAUGGACUUUUGAGCUCCAAACCGAACUCUCAAUAGGGAAAGUAGGCCUUGGCGAAGAUCUCAUCGUUACAUGAGACAAAUAUUAAAGCAGUGGUUUGCUUUGAUAUUGGUUAAGUGAGCUAAUUUAUAGCUAAUGAAGGUGGCACCACGGGUCUCCCGUCCUUUUG